rnacentral:rRNA from 1 species
AACGAACGCUGGCGGCAGGCUUAACACAUGCAAGUCGAGCGCCCCGCAAGGGGAGCGGCAGACGGGUGAGUAACGCGUGGGAAUCUACCCAUCUCUACGGAAUAACGCAUGGAAACGUGUGCUAAUACCGUAUACGUCCUUCGGGAGAAAGAUUUAUCGGAGAUGGAUGAGCCCGCGUUGGAUUAGCUAGUUGGUGGGGUAAAGGCCUACCAAGGCGACGAUCCAUAGCUGGUCUGAGAGGAUGAUCAGCCACACUGGGACUGAGACACGGCCCAGACUACUACGGGAGGCAGCAGUGGGUAAUAUUGGACAAUGGGCGCAAGACUGAUCCAGCCAUGCCGCGUGAGUGAUGAAGGCCCUAGGGGUGUAAAGCUCUUUCACCGGUGAAGAUAAUGACGGUAACCGGAGAAGAAGCCCCGGCUAACUUCGUGCCAGCCGCCGCCGUAAUAC